rnacentral:rRNA from 1 species
ACCCAGACUCCUACGGGAGGCAGCAGUGGGGAAUAUUGCACAAUGGGCGCAAGCCUGAUGCAGCCAUGCCGCGUGUAUGAAGAAGGCCUUCGGGUUGUAAAGUACUUUCAGCGGGGAGGAAGGUGUUGAGGUUAAUAACCUCAGCAAUUGACGUUACCCGCAGAAGAAGCACCGGCUAACUCCGUGCCAGCAGCCGCGGUAAUACGGAGGGUGCAAGCGUUAAUCGGAAUUACUGGGCGUAAAGCGUACGCAGGCGGUCGUGUAAGUCAGGUGUGAAAACCCCGGGCUCAACCUGGGGACUGCAUUCGAAACUGGCAGGCUUGAGGCGUGGAGAGGGGGGUAAAAUUCCAGGUGUAGCGGUGAAAUGCG